AGCGGUCCCGUCCUCAGCGGCUCUCGGUUGCCAUCUUUCUUCCGGUUAGGGUAAUGUCGGGGCGAGUAGAAGAUUGCCGUAGAACCAUAGAGUCUCAUCGCUGAAAACGGUGGUAGAGAUCCUAUCGCUCUACGGGUUCAUUUUUGAAUGGAGAAAAAAAAAAAGGUUCCAUUCACAAUAGCAACGAUCGCAACAACAACAAUAAAAAAGAAAAACCUGUGAAGCAGGUUUGUCCCAGGUGUAGUUUAUUAAGAUGACCUCAUACUGGAGUAGGAUGGACCCCCAUCUAAUGUCUCCUUAUAAGAUGGCCAUUUGAAGACCGCACACAGAAUGCCACGUGAUGCUGAAGGCAGAAAUGGAGUCAUGCAGCUGCAAGCCAAGGGAUGGAACAGGUGGAACAUACACUGCAGGAUGCUGUCUUACGCAAAUACACAAGAAUACAGGUGCAAGGAUGGUCACUACAGUAUGGUUUAUAGCAGUGGAAAACUGGAGAUAAUCUGAAUAUCCAUCAGCAAGUUGGACUAUAAAGAAGGCUGAGCACUGAAGAAUUGAUGCUCUCAAGUUGUGGUGCU